UAGGGAAUCUUCGGCAAUGGGGGGAACCCUGACCGAGCAACGCCGCGUGAGUGAAGAAGGUUUUCGGAUCGUAAAGCUCUGUUGUUAAGGAAGAACGAGUGUGAGAAUGGAAAGUUCAUACUGUGACGGUACUUAACCAGAAAGGGACGGCUAACUACGUGCCAGCAGCCGCGGUAAUACGUAGGUCCCGAGCGUUGUCCGGAUUUAUUGGGCGUAAAGCGAGCGCAGGCGGUUAGAUAAGUCUGAAGUUAAAGGCAGUGGCUCAACCAUUGUAGGCUUUGGGAACAGUUUAACUUGAGUGCAGAAGGGGAGAGUAGAAUUCCAUGUGUAGCGGUGAAAUGCUUAGAUAUAUUGAGGAACACCUGUGGCGAAAGCUGCUCUCUGGUCUUUAACUGACGCUGAAGCUCGAAAGCGUGGGGAGCGAACAGG
rnacentral:rRNA from 1 species